GUUUAUGUUAGUCCUGAAUAUAGUGAGGGAGGUGAUGGAGCAACUGGUAACUGAUCAACACGGUCACAAGCAUCCUCUACAACUUCACUACUUGGAGUCUGGAGCGAUACUGAUGUUUGCAUCACACUAGUCUGGUACAUAGCAGCAGUCCAAUAUCGCGGGAUGGUGCGUGUCAUCACCG